GUGCUUCGGAGACAUUUGAUAAAAUUGGAACGAUACAGAGAAGAUUGGCAUGGCCCUGCGCAAGGCUGACACCAACAAAUUGAGAAUGAUAUUUUAAUAAU